rnacentral:lncRNA from 1 species
UGAAGGAGUGCUUCUUGCAGGCCUAUCACACACUCCUGCUCGGGGCUCCUCUGGGCGUCAGGAGGUCUUCUUGGAGCUCAGAUAUCAACACUGAAGGAGUAAAUGUAACAGGAACUUUAAAACUAUGAUUUAAAUCAGACGUGUACGAGGUCCAGGAGCUGUGUGUGCGUAGACCUGGGGAACCAGACUACUGAUGGUGAUCACUUUGUAGUGUAUACAUUGGUCGAAUUUUAAUGUCGUACACCUGAAACUUAUAUAAUGUUAUAUACCGAUAUUACCUCAAUUUCAAAAGAAGAAGCGACCUUUGACCUCAGACGUGAGCAUGAGUCGGAGUGAGGUGUGGAGAGGAAGGAAGAGAGUCAGAGGAUGGUGAAGCCCCAGAACCUACCAGCAUCAGAAGGGCGAAGGACGCCAGGAGUGAGCUCGGGCACUUGGAGGGGCCCCGUCCUCUCCCCCACUGCUGCCUUGUGGGCUCGGCACCGAGGGAAGGACGGCCGCUCACAGAUCCUCCUCAGGGGCUGCAGCACAGGCUUCGCGACCAUGCUGGAGGAGUCUCUGUAUUCACCUUAAGACUUGCUUUCAGAAGACAGAGAGCCUUUGUGCCAUCUCACAGAACGCGUGUCACAGGGAACAGUAGACCCACCAGCAACUGCCCUCUGGCUGACUAAUUGCUGCUCUGCGCCUGACAAAUGAGCGGCCGCUGCGCAGGUAGCCAGUUGGGGAGGAGCCGAAAAGCCCCGUCCCGUUGUAGAAAUUACACCAUCGCGC